AAAAUUAAAAUUUUAAAACAAAAUUUUCUCCAUUUCCCUUCCUUUUCCCUUUAAUUCACAUUCAACCAACUGAAAGUGAUACAAUUCUAGGGCUUGGAGCGCAAUUGCAUUUUGUUAACUUGGUGGAUAUUUGAUCUGAUUGUUAAGCUGAAUUCUCUCAGAAAAAAUUAAAAUUGUAGAGUCGGUUUAAUUUUGGUGGCUUGUUUUGACAUACAAAAUUCAAAAAUCGCUCAGGUCGAGUGAGUGUAGAGUUUUACAGGUAACUACAUCGUUUCGACAAUGAAGAAGGAGAAGAAGAAGUGUUGUUCAAUUCCUGAAAAUGAAACCCCAAAUUCUGAGAACUCGCCUUUUUCUCAGAUCUUCCAAACCCUAUUAUCAGCUGCUGAUGCUCCACAGGUAAUCUCCC
rnacentral:lncRNA from 1 species